ACGAGGAAUGGCCCGCCGAAGCUCUCGGGCUUGCCGGUGGCGACGAGCUGCUUGACGGUGAAGAGGAACGGCACGCGCUCGCCUCCCGGGAGCUGCACGGUGACGGCGGCGUAGUCGAUGCCGUCCUUCUCCUCGAACUUGAGGGUGCCGUCGGAGCCGACCUCGAGCGGGCCCUCGAUCUCGUCCAGCGUGUAGGUGAGGCGGGUCAUGAGCUUGGUCUUCUGGAACUCGGGCGGCGCGUUCUUGGCGAUGCCCUCCGCCUUGACCGUGAAGGACGUCGGCUCCAAGCACAGCUUCUUCAUCUGGUACUU
rnacentral:lncRNA from 1 species